rfam:Streptomyces paucisporeus strain CGMCC 4.2025 genome assembly, contig: Ga0079900_101
CGAGCUGGCAGCCGCCAGUUCGCACUGACACCGGUACCUGACACGGCCGGUGCAG